CUCUAGCACCUGUGCCUGAUGAAUUUUUGUUCCUAGAAAUUAGAUGUUGAGGAUUAGCUUUUAUUGUCUUCUUGUUUUGCGAAAUGUAUAAGCUGGUCUUUUGGAAGCAAGAUAUACACAUAUUGAUAUAGUCUUAUAAAUAUUAUAUAUAAUAUUAAUAUUUAUCACUAUAUAACAUUGAAUAAGAGAAAAAGUAAAUAUAUUAAGAAAAUCAUCAACUAGACACAAAAUAAAGACUUUCUUCUCUGUUAAAGAGAAUUUCAAUAAGUAAAGGCUCAUGGAAUAUUCUCCUGUGGAAAUCAUGAAGAAAGAGAGGCCCCAACCAUUUUUCUAAGAAAGGUUAGCUCUUCUCUUCUCACAUGCCCUUUUCCAGUCCCACUGAGCAAUUAGAUUUUAUGCUUUCUGACUGGAUAUGGACAAAAGAGGAAAGUUAUAG
rnacentral:lncRNA from 1 species